UUGGGCAUCCGGAUGGCGACUGCGGGAAAUCGAGUUCUUAUGCUGGGGCGAAAGGUGUGUCUGCAGGAGCCAAAUCCAAAUGAGCAGUCCAGGUACUUCAGAGUUUUAACCUGAGCGAAACAGGAAUGUCUCGGGUCUUAACAGGACCGUCCGCCCGCUCGGAAGAGGCGAAUCUCCCACGGCAGACGUCUGGGUGUGCGAAUGCCAGUUGAGCGGGGCCUCGAGGACGCGUCACACACAGCGAGGAUUUGAGGAGGGAAGCGCCUUCCAGAGUCUUGCUGUGUCGUUCAGGCUGG
rnacentral:lncRNA from 1 species